UGGAGGAGUGGUGGUGGUUCUCUAAUGGAGAUUAGAGAGAGGAAAUGAGGUAGUGUGUGAAGUGGGAGAUGGUGUGUGAAAAAGUGGAGAAGAUAGACUUAAAUAAAGAUGGAUGAAAAGUGGGAGAGAAAACCAAAAACAGCUUUCUUCCUCUCCUCCCAUCCGUUUGAAACACUAAGGAAAGAGUGUUCAAAUUGCCAUAACUUUUCCAAAACCAAAGCAAAAGGUGAGGGGGGAGAUAGAGUAGGUUAAUAGGCAAUCAUGAAGAAAAGGGGUAGGAUAAUGUGGUGAUUCAACCUACAAAACAUGGAAGAUAAUUGUAGGGACUUUGAUGGACUUUUGGGUAAAAAGGGGGGAAGUGAGGAUUGUGUGGGAAAGAGGGAAAUGUGUUGGAGUUGAAUCCUAACCAAAAGGUUAAGAACUAGUUGUGAUUGAACAAGACUUCUCCACCUUUCCUUUUCCAUGAAAUUGGCCGGAAAAUAUAUGGCACCACCAAAAGUGGUGGUGCGCCGCCACUUGUGCCGCCAAAAGUGGUGAUGCUCGGAAAAUUGCCGGAAUUUCACCGUUUCUCUUCUCUUGUCAAUAUUUUCUACAAAACAUGGAAUUGGAUUAAUUGACAACAAAAUGGACUUUAGAACAAGUAAUUUUCAAGGAUUAGGACACAAAAUUAUCUAUGAAUUAUGAUCCAACAAUAACAUUUCAGUAAGAAAAUUGUUUCAUCAGCUCUCUUCCUACACAUAACUACACACCUCUCUUCCUACAACAUUGUUUCAGCAGCUGCUCGAGGUGAAUCUUAGAGGGCAAACCUUAGACAGGGAUUUCCAAACUGAAAUCGAGUUCAGUUUGUAAGACACUGUUUGAUAGAUCAGGCUAACAAUAGAUUAACAUCUGGAAAAUAGUAUGGAAGCUUCAAAUUCCAAUAGGCAGAAGAGAAAAUCACACUCACAAUUUCAAAGCUACAAUAUAGAAAAAUUUGAAAAACUCAAGAUCUGAAAACCCUUACAUAUGCUAACACUGAUCUCAUAUGUGGUCACCAAUUUGUAACCGAACAUAUAUAUAGAUCUUCCAGGACUACUUUGGGGCACUUCUUUUGAAUACAAUUUAGGUGUGCAGGUAAAUUUUCUUUCCUCAACACAUUAAAUAAAUAAAGAAUAUGAAACAAUAUAAGAAAGGAAACAUUUUUAGACAUGCCAAAGCUUUUAGCAUUGAUAAUCAUCUAGCACCACAUUAAGCACAAAUUUGUAAACACAAAAUCUAACCUGCAAUUUUAGCAGCAAAACCUUAUACUUUGAAUCUUCAACAUGUUCUUUCUCUUCAGCCUUUGUAGACUCUGAAAAGGUAAAAUAAAGGAAAUUAGCAUGUUGUUUUGGAAAUAUAUAGAAUAUAUAAUCAAAAGUAAGUAGUUACACAAUAAUAACAUCUUCAAACUGAAUAUAAUCAAAAGUAAGAUGCAAACAGAUGAAAGUUAAAUCAAUCAAAUACUGUCAAUAUAGAAAAGAAUUGCAACAAUCCACUGCUUGCACUUACCGAAAUGUGAUAUGUAGAGUUCCAAAUCAGUUAUGUGAUUGACUGUUUCACUUUCACCAGACCUAUAGAAAAAGAAGAAAAUAAACUGUAAAUACAGAAUACUAACCUGAAACCUCAUAUUUUCCUGGUGAGCAUGAUCUAUGCAAUCUCAUAGCUUUAGGGCUUUAAGAUGCAAGUAGUUCUGUUAUGUUUAGGAUAAUAGUUUCUAACGACUUUUGACAGCUUUUACAAUUUCUACGUUCUCUCGAUUUCAAUUCAAAUCAGGAUUGACACUUGACUCUUUUAGAAUUCCAACUGCACAAUGAACUAAUCAUACGCAAACUUAAAUUUUUUUUUAAAACUUUCUUUUCCAAAUCAAAAAGGGAAAACAACAAUCUAAACUACAUCAAAUAGUCACAUAUUAUUACCAACCGUAAACAAUAUCAAAUUGUUGGUGUGAAACUAAAAGCAAGAAGAAAGACUAUGCAAGGAGUGAGAAGAGGAGGUAUAGGUGAGGUCUAGGUGAUGAAGCAAAGGUGAGUAUUUACAGCUAUAUGCAAGUAGUUGAUAAUAUGCAUCGAUCAACUGCCAUCCCAAAUCAUACAAAACACAAUAAAUAAAAGCAAAAACAUAGAUAAAUAAUGAAGAUGAAGAUCAGUUUAAGAUAGACUCACCUACUCCAAUAUAUAACUCCCAAUUACAUAACUAUUUCUACCUGCAAACAUAGAAAGUCAAGAUCCAUUAAAUGAAUUAACUGGGGAAAUUGAAAGGAGAACCAACACAUGGGCUGAUACCUAUCAAGAUACCAAAACUUAACUAUUCCAUCUUAGACAUUAACAGUACGAAACAACCCAAAUACAGAAGGUGUAAUCAAUUCCAAACACAGAAAAUUAGAACCUGAACUCUACAGUUAUCCUUUCACAACAAUCAAAAUACCAUAUGACCAAAAAUAUGUGUAUCUGAGAGAAUAAGACCAUAACCACAACAAAAUAGCACUAACCUGGAUCUCGUAUUGGGCUCCCCUCUUCCUUUUUUUCUAAAUUCAGACCUCUUUUUCGUCUAUGGAAACCUAGAAAACAGAAGUUCGUAUUAGUCACAAUUGUUGAAGGAAAUAGAUAACAUCGACGUGAAAGAGUGAACAAAGUUUAUAGACUAUGCUAGGAUAACAUACGCUGGGAUGAUCAAUAUCAAUUGAUUUCUGCUUCUAUUUAAAGUAAUGAAAAAGGGGAAAAAAAAAAAAACUGAAUCGGAGGCCUAACCUGUAAAGGUCACUUCAGAGAUGAAACGGAAGCGGCGAUCUUUUCUGAAGCUUUAGGAGGCGGCGAGCGAGAGAUCAUUCGAGAAAUAUCAGGUGGGAGAGAAGCGGCGAGACUUCAAGACACUGGAGAGAUCGAUGGAAAAAGAGAGAGCAAAGGGUAGAGAAAAAGACGAAGAAUC
rnacentral:lncRNA from 1 species